UUUCCUGUAAAAACUUUUAAAGUGUUAUUUUAAGCAAACCCCGAGGCAGACUUUAAUCACUAGGGGGGGUCUCCGCAGCAUUGAGCAGUUUUGGGAGCACGUCCCUUCUGCUGGUGAAGGAAUGGAUGCCAAGCACAGGUCAGCGGCUCCCGCGCAGGGCAGGCGAUGAACACCGGGAGCUGUGGGACAGCUCUGCCCCAUCACACGCGGGUUCAGUCAAUAAACCCUUAAAAGGGUCAAAAACUCUUGCAGCUGCCGGCCGUGGCUGGGCGGUGUGGGGUGGCCUCUCCCGGGCACCUCUUCCAGCACCCUCACACGCCCACAUCCGCAGAGCAUGGGGGUGAACCGUGCCGGACCCCGGGCCACAGCUACGGAGCGCUGUCAGCAUCAGCAGAACAGAAAUCAAGUGUGGUGGCAGCUUUUUCUCUUCCUACACAACUUGGCCUUAAACACGGAGGUGAACAGGAACCACACUGGGCAGAGGUGAGCUUCGCCCGCCUGUUUCAGGCCACAUCCAGUCUGCAGGGAGCACUGAACAAACACUGGUUCGGGGGCGAGACGUUGCACACCGCCGGCCGGAUGUGAGGACUCUGACUUUCUGAUACUCGUCUUCAAGUUUGGGUGUUUUUAUGGACUCUUCUUUGCUGCUGCCUGCCUCGUGAGGCAGGGAGCUCUUGUCCAACACUGUUGAAGGAAAGCCAGAAUGUGGGUGUGUUUGGUAAAGCUUGCUGCUGGCUCCCCGCACCGGUGACCUCUGUGCAAGGGAGGCAGGUAUUAGACUGACGGCUUCCUCUGCCCUGGGUAGUAGUGGAUGGUAGAGUGCAGGAGUGUCAUUUUGGCUGCUAGUUAAAAAUGAUGCCUGGGAUUGAUGACUAAAAAUACUUUGGGUAUCUUCCAGAACAGAGAUGCUCAAUUCCUCCACGUUUUUAGCAAUGAAAAAUAUUCAUGUAGCUUGGAACCAUCAGGUUAUUUGUUUUAUUCAUUGGUUACUGUUUAUUUCAUUGCACCCUGUGUGAGAGAAAAUCACAAAGAAAUCUGACCUCUUCAGCCAUUCCAUUGGGUACCACUUUGCAGCUCUCUCACAAGUUGUUCUUUGUCAUUGCCA